GGGCUGAUAUUAAUUAAUUCAAGUGAAGAGAGAAGCAAGGAGCAGACAUGAGUGGAAUAAGCAAGCAGCUCAGGUAGUGAGACGUCACAGGGAGUUAUGAAUGGGGGAAAGGGGAACAAAUAGCCAGUGAUCAACAAGCCAUAGCAGGAGCCAGAGUAACUGAGGAUAAUUCUCAUGAUUCCUAAGUUGUCUUAUAUGUCGGUGGUUAUGGUGAACAGCCAUCAUAUUCCAGAAGUUCCAAAGAUGCAUUUUAAAGGCUAGUCAAGUGAAGCAGUGGAAGUGGAGAAGAAACGAAGAAAUCUGUAACUGGUCAUGAUCAAUUAGUUGUAAACAUCACUUCACUCGGACCAGACUAUUAAAUCAUUAAUAUGCUUAAGUUAUAAUAUUUAAAUAUUUUCACCUUGUUUGUUUAUAAUCUCUAAUCAGCCUAUGAAAAAACACUUUCACCACGGGUAAUUUUUAAAAAUCUGCCUUUAUAACAUCUUACUUAACUGUUUCCUGCUUCUUUUUUGGCUUGAGACAAGGACUUGAAAAAUUUCUCAGGAGAAGGGGUUGUGUAAGAUAAAAAAACAACUUCAGGUCAGACAGUGCUUCAGGACUAUGGUAUAAAUCAGGGAUAUGGUUGAACACAUCACAGAAUAGGAGAAUCUCAGAUUGAGUUUAAAGGAAACAGAGAUCAUCCUAUCGAGGAGCUGGCAGUUACAAACCAGGUAGAUUAUCAGGCAAGGAGGAGGCAAGUAAAGAAGGUAAAGGUUAUGGGAGGGCCAAUGACAAUACAUACCUGGGCUACACAUUGCA